CAGGCAUAAAUCAGGAUAUCUGCUGCACAGUGUGAACAUUGGCUAAUCUUGCCAGGAUUUCAGACAGUCACGUGCAAUCCUAUCCUCUCCGACUGCUGCACUUGAAGAAUCAUCAUAGCUUCUGGGCCUGUGAAAGUGCAACUUGUACACUUCCUUUCUGCUGCUUCCUGAAGAAGACAGAUGCAUCUUUUUUUCUUUUUUAAAGUUGGAAACUUUAGGAAAUGUGUUUUUGUUUUGCUUGGAGGGAAUUUUGGAAAUGAAUUGUUUUUUAACUCCAACUUGCGAUGCACACUUUGGAUUGAAAUAAAAUCUGGAAAUAGUGAUCUGUCAGGAGAAGCUGAAACCACAUUCUCUGGGUGUGAUCAUAAAACUUUCUGCUGCAGCUUCUAAUCAGGUGAGAACUCCAACUAAAAUUGAUAGAAACCCUGCCUGUGGAGUUUUGGCCUUGAGAAGUGAGCUUUGAACCAAAAAAAAAAAAAAGAAAAGGAAUUAAUGCCAGAAAAAACAAGGUAGCCCAAAGACCUGUUUCUAAAGUAAAAACCGCACUGAAAACAUUAAUGAUGGAGUUCAACCGAUGUCUCAAAAGAGGUAAUACAAUAUUGCAUGAAAGAAAAACUUAGCACAAUUUUACAGAAAUAGAUGAAAGAAAAGAAUAUGAGAGUUGAAAUUCUGGUAGGUUUAAGGGCAUUAAGAAACAUCAACACCAUGGCAAUUAAGAAUCCAACCUGCAAGGACAAGUCUUGUUCAAGGGCAAGUGGGGAUGCCAGUAUGAACAAGGGUCAUUACCAGAUAAGGCUGCUAUGGGCUGACCCUUUCCACUGUUAUCCAAUCCAUGCAUUACUGAAAAUAUGUUAAGUGAAGGGACUUAACCGAGCAAUGUCCUUCUAGGAAGACUAGAUGUAACCCUUAGCCUUGGUUGCAUAGUCAGUGGUUGCCUAAACCACACUGGUGGUGUUCUGUGGUCAACUGCAGCUGUGCAAGUGAAAAGUUUGUGCUUCCUACUCUCUCCUCCAUAACCAUUUCUUUUGGGUCCUCUUCCCCAUCACCUAGCUAGGGUUGUAAGCCUAUGAAGCAAUCCACACAAAGUUGUACGUGAGUCUGUUGGCAUUACAACUCCUUUGGCAUUUCUGUGAUGCCCAGUCCCUACUUGCUCACAGUAUUAGGAAUUGCCUCUACUCAGGUCACACAGCUCAGUCUAGUAAAGUUUUGAUCUGUGGCUUGGGGUCUGUGCACCACUAAGUCUGCAGGAUUAGUGUCUGACUCAUUAUUUUUUGUUUAUGCUGUCCUCAGGUGGCAAUCUCAUUCUCAGUAGGAGCUUAAUUUUCUGGUGUCCUUUUAGGAAGAAUUGCAUGACCAGGUGGAAAUGUUUUGGAAACUGAUGGCAGCUGAUCUGUAUUCCAGUAUAAAUGGCAACUAGCAGUAAUUAGAUGCUUAGGAAAUAUUAUCUAAUAUUACAUCCUACAACCUGCUAUUCUCUUCUGUGAAAAAAAACCACUAUUCAUCUGAUCAAUGAGAUCUUUCUCUCUUUUGAAUCUUCUAAAGAAAGUUGUAAGUCUCUGGAAUGUUUUGUAAUUUAACCUUCAUACAGAGAUGAGCUGCAUGUCCAACCACUUGGUUUCAAAUAUAGCUAACAAAAAAGGGUUAAAAAACCUUCCCUGCUCUGGGACAGAAAUGCUCUUCUAGAGUAGUUAAUUCAAUCAAUUGUCAACAGACAAAUGACCUCAUAAAUCAAAGGAACCUAUGGAGAGAUCAGCGUGGAAAUUGCAAGAAGAUAUAUCAGUGAUAAAAGUCGUCUUACUGUGAGAUUCAGUGUUCCCUCUGGCUGUCUGGGUGGAGUUAAUGAUGUGUGGAGUUAAACACUCUGCUCUUCUGCCCUCCCUGUAACUCACAAGAAGACCCAGGUUUCUCUCUCAAGUGUAGGACUGGCCCAAAACUCCUGCACCACGAGAUGACUUGGGAUAAAAGGAGUCCAAUGAACUCCGUUUUCAAAGCAACUGGAGGAAAUCGGUCAAUGCAGUCUGCGUGUGAAAUGAUUUUUGUGUAAUUUAAGUCCGAAGUAAGAAAAUCACAUGUAAAGGUAAGUCACUAAAACUCAAGGAGGAUAAAACAAAAGGCAAAAUAUGCAACUGCAAAAGCUGUUCCACUUGUGUGUGUAAAUCAGGAGACUGUGUUCAAGUGGCGAAUUAGGCUGCGUUGCCUGCUGUUAUGCAUUUAAAUUAAGCAGGAACCUAAUAGCUUUUUGAAAUCUGGCCCUAAGUGUUUGGUUUGUUUGUUGGUUUGGGUUUUUUGGUUUUCUUGGGGUUUGUUUUUUAUUUUUUCCUCAGGGAAGAGAUAAUCUAAUCAAAUUAGUGCUUUAGAAGAAAGAACACUUAAUACUGAACAUGAGUGAGGAGCUCUAACUACUGAUAGAAACUCCACUGACUCCACUGCUUAGAAUGACCCCAUUUCCCAGCACAAUUGUUUAUUUGUUUUAGAAAGAGAGAAGUUUCCCUCACUCAGGUGGUACACAGCUCAGACUUGGGAAAGGUGUUUUGUUUUCACUCUCCAACACAUCAGAGCACAGAUGGGAACAUCAACAGGAACUGCUCCCAUGAGAGGGCAGGACAGCAAUUGAACAACGCUGCAUUGACCCAACAACCUUGCAUGGACGACAUCAGGCUGAGUAAGGGGAUCCUGCCAGGGGACUGAUGGAGUGUAUCUUGACAUAAAUGCUUUUUAUGAUUGAUUUUCAAGUAGAGAUCAUCACUGGCCCAUCAACAAGGGUCUUGGAGGACCUCCACUUUGCAGAGCAUGCAAUGAGGAGAAAUACUGAUUGCUCUGGGGUAAGGAAAGGAUGAGAAGAAGCAGGUGAGGCAGCCUGAGCUACCUUCACUUGCAGCAGCUUCACAAAAUGUCCUAAUCACACACAGAAAACCAGUUGGAGGUUAUACAAACCGCUUGUGCUUACUUCGCAUUUUCAAAGUAGAAGCCUGGGCAUCAGUCCAAACCCAUAAUCUGCACGAGGGCAUGUCACAACAAAUAGGAAAGGGAUAAUUAGAAUUUUAUGAAGAGUGGCUCUCUAUAAUGCUACCUACUGUUUACUUACCAACAAUUUUAAACGUAGUAACUGAUGCAUUUUAAGUAAUACAAAUUAAAAAAAAAAUCUAAGCGGCUCAUAUUUACUCUUAGUUUUGUGGGUUUUUUUUUAAAUAACCCUGUUUCCCCAGUGGGACCAAUGUGUGUGCACGUGUGUGUGCGCUCAUAAAACAGUGCUGAAAUGUAUGAGAGCGCAGGAAUGAGGCUUUAGCAGAUAACAACUCUUGAUUUUAUUAAGUGGGGUUUUUUUUCUAGAAGUCAAGGAAAGUCCAGUUCACUCAAGACAACAGCAGUGUGAGAGCCAUUCCUCUGCUUUCUAGCAGCGUGUCAGAAGAUACAAGCAAGAGACAAGUCUAAAAGCAACAUAAGACGUAACAUUUUCUUCAUUGUCUUUCAUUACAGUUCUGUAACUUAGCUUGGUAGAAUGGCUGUUGGUUUUUACCCCAGAUAGGACUCUAUUUCAGUGGUACCUAACACCUCUACAUUGUGUCCAGCAACAUAGUAAUUUGACAUAUCUUUUAGGAAAAAAAAAAGGAGCUUUAGCAAGAUACUACAUUUUACAUUAUUUAUUUGUAACUAAAAUAGCUGCACGGAUAUUCUUACCCACGGCUAAAUCUGAGACUAUUAAUCUACCCACAGCCUACAUUACACCCACACAAAGAUGUAUUUUAAAAGUGAACACACCGAAUGUAGCUCAGCAUCAAGUAUUUUUGUUUUCUUAAUAAACCCCCUGAAAUCAGCAAAAGCAACAUGUACAAGCAAAUAGUAAUCUGAUAAUUUUUCUCCAUAAAAUCAGAAAUUUCAGAAUUUUCAAAUUCUUUAUUGUUUAUUUACUUUUAACCUAAUUCACAUAAUUCAAGCAUCAUCUUUUCUUCAUAAGUAGGCAAAAACAACCACAUGAAUAAUUGCUUUCCCAAGUUUUGGUCCUUUUUGUGCAAUUGGGUCACUGGCUGUAUCUCCAUCAGCGAGUGGUGUGGUGCCAUGGAUGUGGAGGUGAGACCACAGGUGCUAGGGACCCACAUCCACAGCAUGUAUCUUUCUGCGGGGCAGCUUCCCACGAGCUCUGGUGAAGUCCCAGGGGCCAGCAUAUAAGGUGCACAGCUCUCAUGCAUUUUCAGGUUUAGCUUAACCCGAAGGGAUGCAGCUGUCAUGCUCCAAUGCUGCUCUGCAGUGUGAACUGAAGCACGAUAAGUGGAUGGUGAUGGGGAGGUUUGCUCUUUCCUGAGAACAACCAAAAGGCUGGCAUAGGUGCACCCGCUGGAUAUGACCUGCUUAUGGGCCAGCCCAUCACAGCUUGAAAGGAUAUCCAAGAAACAUCACUUUUGAUCAGUUUUUGCUAUCUGAUCACCACUGAGGCUCUAAGUGCAUAAACCACAAGGCAGGGGCAGAUCAGCCUGUGCUGGGUCCUGCAAGGAAAUCACCAGCCUCCUCCUGCCUUAACACAGCUGAACCUGGGCACUACUGUCUACUUCUUAUAACAUUUGCAGGGCCAGGCUUUGAGGGGGAAGGCAGGAAACCCUGUGUCCCAGAUGAAAGGACUGUAAAUCAUGGGGUAAAUUAUCCCUGAGCACAACUUGACAGGUAUAUGAGACAACUCAGCCUCACUCCCUGCCUGAUUUAGCUUCAGGUAUUUAAAUCCAGUCUCCUACCUAUGAGAACAGUGCUCUGAAAAAUGUUUGCCCUGCUCUCAGAAGGACUUUCUCUGUGCUUUCUCCCUGCUGUGGUAGCAUUAUGCUGCCGAGCUCUGGAUCAUCUGUGUGUGCACGCAUCCCUUAACUACCUUGUGCCAGUGUUAAGACUGGGUGGUUUAGGGAGUUGACUUAUGCCUAUAAUGGUAAUGCCAUUAGACAUCAUCAAGGUUCAAUCUGUGUGUGUAACAAAACACAUGUUGAAAUGCUGAGCUACAAGACGCUGUAAAAUCUGGAAGUAUUGCUUUGUGGUGUUAAUGAUUAUUAAUAAUAAUAAUAUGUGUAAUAGGUUUUCAUGUUGUGGACAGGGUGAAUGGCAAAAUGGAUUCAGGUCUUUUUAUUUUCUUUUCAGCUUGUUAUUAUCUAGAGAAAAAACACUAAUUACUAGAAACUAAUACCUCGUGUGUUACUUAUCCUCUUAAUUAGUACCCUAAUUAUUAAGUGCAGUGAUAACCCCUAGUUAGAACAUAUUUGCUUUUUAAGACUUUGUUUAUCUGUCUUCCC